rnacentral:rRNA from 1 species
GAAUUCGCCCUUAGAGUUUGAUCCUGGCUCAGGACGAACGCUGGCGGCGCGCCUAACACAUGCAAGUCGAACGAGCGAGAGAGAGCUUGCUUUCUCGAGCGAGUGGCGAACGGGUGAGUAACGCGUGAGGAACCUGCCUCAAAGAGGGGGACAACAGUUGGAAACGACUGCUAAUACCGCAUAAGCCCACGACCUGGCAUCGGGUAGAGGGAAAAGGAGCAAUCCGCUUUGAGAUGGCCUCGCGUCCGAUUAGCUAGUUGGUGAGGUAACGGCCCACCAAGGCGACGAUCGGUAGCCGGACUGAGAGGUUGAACGGCCACAUUGGGACUGAGACACGGCCCAGACUCCUACGGGAGGCAGCAGUGGGGAAUAUUGCACAAUGGGGGAAACCCUGAUGCAGCGACGCCGCGUGGAGGAAGAAGGUCUUCGGAUUGUAAACUCCUGUUGUUGAGGAAGAUAAUGACGGUACUCAACAAGGAAGUGACGGCUAACUACGUGCCAGCAGCCGCGGUAAAACGUAGGUCACAAGCGUUGUCCGGAAUUACUGGGUGUAAAGGGAGCGCAGGCGGGAAGACAAGUUGGAAGUGAAAUCCAUGGGCUCAACCCAUGAACUGCUUUCAAAACUGUUUUUCUUGAGUAGUGCAGAGGUAGGCGGAAUUCCCGGUGUAGCGGUGGAAUGCGUAGAUAUUAGGAGGAACACCAGUGGCGAAGGCGGCUUACUGAACGAUAACUGACGCUGAGGCUCGAAAGCGUGGGGAGCAAACAGGAUUAGAUACCCUGGUAGUCCACACUGUAAACGAUGAAUACUAGGUGUGCGGGGACUGACCCCCUGCGUGCCGCAGUUAACACAAUAAGUAUUCCACCUGGGGAGUACGAUCGCAAGGUUGAAACUCAAAGGAAUUGACGGGGGCCCGCACAAGCGGUGGAUUAUGUGGUUUAAUUCGAAGCAACGCGAAGAACCUUACCAGGGUUUGACAUCCUGCUAACGAAGUAGAGAUACAUUAGGUGCCCUUCGGGGAAAGCAGAGACAGGUGGUGCAUGGUUGUCGUCAGCUCGUGUCGUGAGAUGUUGGGUUAAGUCCCGCAACGAGCGCAACCCUUAUCCUCAGUAGCCAGCACUUCGGGUGGGCACUCUGUGGAGACUGCCAGGGACAACCUGGAGGAAGGUGGGGAUGACGUCAAAUCAUCAUGCCCCUUAUGGCCUGGGCUACACACGUGCUACAAUGGCGUAAACAAAGGGAAGCAGAGUCGUGAGGCCGAGCAAAUCCCAAAAAUAACGUCUCAGUUCGGAUUGUAGUCUGCAACUCGACUACAUGAAGCUGGAAUCGCUAGUAAUCGCGAAUCAGAAUGUCGCGGUGAAUACGUUCCCGGGUCUUGUACUCACCGCCCGUCA